ACGUAGGCAGCAAGCGUUGUUCGGAGUUACUGGGCGUAAAGGGUGUGUAGGCGGUUGGAUAAGUGUGGUGUGAAAUCUCCCGGCUCAACUGGGAGGGUGCGCUACAAACUGUCUGACUAGAGUGUGGGAUGGGUAAGUGGAAUUCCUGGGGUAGCGGUGAAAUGCGCAGAUAUCAGGAGGAACACCGGUGGCGAAGGCGGAUCUCUGGACCGUAACUGACGCUGAGGAGCGAAAGCAUGGGGAGCGAACAGGA
rnacentral:rRNA from 1 species